UACGUAGGCAGCAAGCGUUGUUCGGAAUUACUGGGCGUAAAGAGUGUGUAGGCGGUGCUCUAAGUUCGUUGUGAAAUCUCCCGGCUUAACUGGGAGGGGUCGUUGAAUACUGCGAGACUUGAGUUUAGGAGAGGGGUGCAGAAUUCCCGGUGUAGUGGUGGAAUGCGUAGAUAUCGGGAGGAAUACCAGUGGCGAAAGCGGCACCCUAGCCUUUGACUGACGCUCAUGUGCGAAAGCGUGGGGAGCGAACGGG
rnacentral:rRNA from 1 species